AUACGGAGGGGGCUAGCGUUGUUCGGAAUUACUGGGCGUAAAGCGCGCGUAGGCGGAUCGUUAAGUCAGGGGUGAAAGCCCGGAGCUCAACUCCGGAACUGCCCUUGAUACUGGCGAUCUCGAGUCCGGGAGAGGUGAGCGGAAUUCCUAGUGUAGAGGUGAAAUUCGUAGAUAUUAAGAGGAACACCAGUGGCGAAGGCGGCUCACUGGCCCGGUACUGACGCUGAGGUGCGAAAGCGUGGGGAGCAAACAGGAUUAGAAACCCUAGUAGUCC
rnacentral:rRNA from 1 species